GGCCCGGGAUAGCCCAGGGAAACCUGGAUUAAUACCGGAUGAGACGGGACCCGCGAUGGCGGGACCCGGGAAGGCGCUGCGGCGCCGCCGGGGGAUGAGUCUGCGUCCCAUUAGCUAGACGGCGGGGUAACGGCCCACCGUGGCGACGAUGGGUAGCCGGCCUGAGAGGGUGGACGGCCACAUUGGAACUGAGACACGGUCCAGACUCCUACGGGAGGCAGCAGCUAAGAAUCUUCCGCAAUGGGCGAAAGCCUGACGGAGCGACGCCCGCGUGAACGAAGAAGGCCGUGAGGUUGUAAAGUUCUUUUCGGGAGGGGGAACAACCGUGGCAGGGAAUGGCCGCGGGAUGACGUGAAUCCCGGAAUAAGCCCCGGCUAACUACGUGCCAGCCGCAGC
rnacentral:rRNA from 1 species